CGGGGUGAGUAAUGUCUGGGAAACUGCCUGAUGGAGGGGGAUAACUACUGGAAACGGUAGCUAAUACCGCAUAACGUCGCAAGACCAAAGAGGGGGACCUUCGGGCCUCUUGCCAUCGGAUGUGCCCAGAUGGGAUUAGCUAGUAGGUGGGGUAACGGCUCACCUAGGCGACGAUCCCUAGCUGGUCUGAGAGGAUGACCAGCCACACUGGCACUGAGACACGGUCCAG
rnacentral:rRNA from 1 species